rnacentral:rRNA from 1 species
GGAUUUGGUGAUGGGCGAAGCCCGCCCAGCAACGCCGCGUGUGCGAAGAAGGCCUUCGGGUUGUAAAGCACUUUUUAGCGGGAAGAGGAAGGACGGUACCGCUAGAAGAAGUCUCGGCUAACUACGUGCCAGCAGCCGCGGUAACACGUAGGAGACAAGCGUUAUCCGGAUUUACNUGGGUGUAAAGCGCGUGCAGGCGGUCGAGUAAGUUGGAUGUGAAAGCUCCCGGCUCAACUGGGAGAGGUCGUUCAAUACUGCUUGGCUAGAGGACAGCAGAGGGGAGUGGAAUUCCGAGUGUAGCGGUAAAAUGCAUAGAUAUUCGGAAGAACACCAGUGGCGAAGGCGGCUCUCUGGGCUGGUCCUGACGCUCAGACGCGAAAGCUAGGGUAGCAAACGGGAUUAGAGACCCCGGUAGUCCUAGCCGUAAACGAUGUGGACUUGGCGUGGGAGGGUUUAAAUCCUUCUGUGCCGCAGCCAACGCGAUAAGUCCACCACCUGGGGACUACGGCCGCAAGGUUAAAACUCAAAAAAAUUGACGGA